AAGAAGUCCAAAGUUUAAAGAGUGAUUGAGGUUGAAACUUUGAAGAGAAUUUUUUUUAGAGUUUUAGUUAAAAAGGGACUGAAAUUUAACAUCAGAAAUUGAGUGUUUGAGAGUUGAAAAACUGAAGGAAUCUGCUUUCUUUCACUGUUGAAAAUCAGUACUAGUUUGCUAUUAUUUUAUUGAACUUUUGAAGUUUCUUUCCAUUAAGUGCUUGAAAAUCAGAAAACUAUUGUUUUCCGGCUUCUGGUUCUUUCGGAUUCUGCCUGGGUUUGCUACUUGGUAUAAUGUUAUUGUUUCAUCGAACGUGCUGGAAUUAUGUUUGGUUUUUGAAUAUGUUCCUGGGUUUCUACUACUGUUGUUGUUGCUGUGUUAUCGCUAUGGCUGCUUGAUUCUCAUCCUCCUCUUUUCCUUGUACUCAAAUACCGGGUACGCUACUUCGAAUCAUCUCGAUGUAUAUUCAUUGAAGUUAAAGUGAUAUGGCCAAGGGAUCUGUGAUGCAACUAAUAAGAACCUGUAUUUAGUUAAUUUUUGUUAUGUGUUUUGUGUUAUAGGAAUGGUAUAUGUAUGCAUAACUAGGAGUGUUCUUUUAUUAGAUCAAUGAGUAGCAAACUGUAUUUAGUUAAUUUUUGUUAUGUGUUUUGUGUUAUAGGAAUGGUAUAUGUAUGCAUAGCUAGGAGUGUUCUUUUAUUAGAUCAAUGAUUAGCAAUAAUAAUGAUGCGAAAUGUUAGACUUUGAACUAAGAUUCUUGGAAUGGUGUAGACAUUAUUCAAUGAUAUAUGUAUGUCUAAUUUGAGCAAUUUAUAGAUUUUUGAAAUAUAGGAUGCAUGUCUGGAGGAAUCUCACAGUUAUUAGUUUCAUGCUUUGCUAGUUUAUAUAAUGUAUUUCGAGAUCGCAUUAUACUCAAAUUGGUAAAUAGUCAAUAUGGGAAAUCGAUUUAAUUUGGUUAGUUAGUAAAAUCUAGCUUUGAACUCGCGAAUAUUGGAAUAGAAGAAAUUUGAAGUUCAUGAUUUAUGACUCUUUUUAGUAACAAAGAUCCGCAAGUAUUAGGCAAAUAUAGCUGGUCAGUAAUUUCAUAGACAUAUGUAAAGUGUGAUCCGAUGUAGCAAGGAUAAUGUCAAUUUAAUAGGCAUAAGUUGAGCUCGAACAAGGUGGGUAAGAGAUCCUUUAAUUAUAAUAGAUUUUUCCAAGUUUCGUUUAAGUUUUUAACAAACUUUUGCAAGCAUAGGAAAUUAAGGUUAGUUUUUAUUUCUAAUAGUUGUAAAUAGGUAAUUCCAACGGUGCAAUUCAUAUAACCAUGUGGCUUUGAUUUAGUUAAAUUAGUUUAUUUUGAUAAUAGUAUUUGUAAAUCCCGUACUCUAUUUCUUUUCAAGUUUGGUAAUAUUGGCUUAUAGAAUAAGGCUUGAAAUAAUUUCUCUUUGCGCAAGUUCAAUAAUAAAUAUUUCGAUAGCAUUUGUCUUAAGAUAGUAACUAAUAAUUGAUGGCCUUUUCAAGCAUGUAAUUAACUAGGAUUUUUCUCUAAAAUAUGAGUUUAAUAGUAGAAAAUGUAGUCACUUUUAGCAUUAUCCUAUUAAAAUAAACGAGAUGAGCCUCGCCAAAUAAAAUGCAAAGGGUGUGUGAGUUCUGAUAUGGCUUAGUGAAUUUCUUAUGCAUUGAGGUUCCACGUAAAGGUGAUGUUGUAUGAGCAGGAUGGCUCUUUAAACACAGAUUGUAUAUUGUACCUCAGUUGUGCUUGAGUUUGUGGAUUAUAUGUUAUAUGUCUCCCCAGGGAAUGGUAUUAUACACUUAGCGUGUUUAUGACUAGUAUUCAGUAUUUUGUUGUAACGAGUAAUUUAGCUAAAUCUACAUCUCCUUAUGUAAGUUCCAUUUGUGGAUCAGGUCGCAUGACGCCUUGGGUAUGUUAUUUGGAUCAGGUGGAAUGCCUCCAUGGUUAUGUUGUGUGGAUCGGGUGGCGCGCCUCCAUGGUUAUGAUUGCUCGAAUCAACUUGUGUGCCGCAAUAGUGUGAUGUUCAGUACAAUUUUCCAUAUCUAUUUAUAGUGUUAUGUUUCCUAUUUUCUGAAGGAAACUCAUAUUAGUUCUGCGCCCGCAUCACAUGUAUGAUUCGCGAGCGGGGUAAUUAAAUUUCCUUUUUAGAGUUUGUUUUCCUUUUGCAUCGCAUUCUAAUUGGUAACCUGUUGGCACAUUGUGGCAUCAUAUGAGAUUUUUUAUCAUGUCCGGGAUAGUUUAUUGCCGGAUCAGUUUGUACUCGGUGAGACGAGAUCGUUGGAUUUAGGAUUGGUGCAAUCUGAUUAUAUGAAGUACAUUAAGGAGCUAAGACCAUUAUUUGGUUCAAAAUGAGGUGAUGGUUCUUGUCAGGUGUAUAGACUCAAUGAUUGGUUGAAUCACCAGUUGGUUACAAAUUUCUACAUAUGUAUUCCGUCGUGGUGGUAUUGUAAGAGUUAGAGCAAGACCUUUGUGGGUCAUGAGGUGUAGUGGGAGCAUCGGAUUCGUGCAAUUUUGACUAAGUUAUUGAGGUCUGGUGAGUAAAGUGAUACUAGGGGUGAAUUCAGCAAAGUUAUGCAGCCAUGUUUGGGUACAACGUGUAGUGAUUGAUAUGGUGAUCUUAUGUUCGAACAGGUCGGACAUAGAAUUUCG
rnacentral:lncRNA from 1 species